GCAUCUUAGCCGGACGUUCGGUUCAUCCCACAUCACCAGUUCUGCUUACCAAAAGUGGCCCACUUGGCACCAUGCAGUCGUCGCAUCGCAAUGGCCGCCUCCGAUCAGGAGAGGAGCGGCCCGUUUCGACUGUUCCCAGUUCGAGAA